AAAUUAAAAAAAAAAAAACCCUUAGAAACUAAAUCUACAGCUGCGUCUCAACAAAAUAUGAAGUCCUAGAUGGUUUAGGACUGCUGGAACCUCAGUUGGACUAAAAAAACACAGCUGCCCGAGAAUGGCUGAAAAUCUCACAGCAGGGAUUUGAGGGAGAGUGAAUCUCACAGCCUAGGUGUAAGAUUUUAGGCACUUCUGCCCAAGCUUGCCAGAAAUCGCUAUUUCCCCUCUUUCACACCGGCAUGCUUCUAUUGUUGUUUGACUUGCUUCUUCA
rnacentral:misc_RNA from 1 species